CCUUUUCUCAGGCAAAACCUAACAUCUGACCGCACCCUUUUUGCUAUUAAAAAAAAAAAAAAGCUUCUAUUUUUUUCCUCCUGUCGUUAAGAUAAAUUCUCCAGUAGACAACCUCUCCCACUAAUUGUGUAUUAGCAACGUAUUUUAUCUUGAGAGCUUGUACACUGGGCUCUCAACGUGGUGUGGAAGGUAGCCUGUUACAGUGCUGGAUUCAUAAAAGGGCCUUUAUGGUUUGUGAAAGAAUAUCUGUGUGCUUAGGGAGGAAACUUUUUGAUCUGCAGAAAAGCCAGAAGACAUCUAGGACAUCCAUAAAAAUUCAUCAGAGAGCAUUUUACUACUGAGCUGCAAAGGGAAAAACUUAAAAUGGAUAUGAAAAGUGAAGAAAGUGAUCAUAGGAGAAAACCAUUUCAGAUAUCUGUGGAUAUCUCUCCAGAACUUCAUGUAUAUGUGUCUGAUGAUUUGUGAGCCUCAAGUGACUACUCUGUGGAAUCAUCUGUCCUUGCCUUUGAAUUAGCUUUCCCUAGGCCAUGAGUCAACAUUAGUAGUUUAUACAUCCAAAUUGAUGACAAGAGCACCUCAAAGGCAGCAGCCUCAAGGAGCAGCCAUGGCCCCAGACUUGUCGCACGGAUGCAGAAAACUUAAUGGAGGAGGCUGAGGUCAGAAUGGGAAGAGUUUUUAAAAAAUAAAAAGGGGAGCUAAUAUGU
rnacentral:lncRNA from 1 species